AUUGAACGCUGGCGGCAGGCCUAACACAUGCAAGUCGAGCGGAGCGGCGGACGGGGGAGUAAUGCCGAGGGAUCAGCCUGGUGGUGAGGGAAAACUCACGGAAACGGACGCUAUUACCGCAUACUAUCAAAGCAGCCUAGGUGGGAUUAGCUAGUUGGUGGGGUAAAGGCCUACCAAGGCGACGAUCCGUAACUGGGCGGAGAGGAGGAUCAGUCAAACUGGAACUGAGACACGGUCCAGACGCCUAAGGGAGGCAGCAGUGGGGAAUAUUGGACAAUGGGCUAAUGCCUGAUCCAGCCAUGCCGCGUGUGUGAAGAAGGUCUUCGGAUUGUAAAGCACUUUAAGUUGGGAGGCGUUACCAACAGAAUAAGCACCGGCUAACUUCGUGCCAGCCGCCGCGGUAAUUC
rnacentral:rRNA from 1 species